ensembl:antisense
AUGAACCCACAGAACUGGGUUGUUCACCUGCUGGUUUCCUGACUGUGAUUCCUUGAAGUUGGGAAGAAACAGUCUUCUGCACUUGGGCAGUCACAGGGCAUUUGGACUCAUUUAAAGUUCUGUGGUCCCAGCACGCAAUGUUAGCCUGUGAGUCGACCCUUUCACAGUGAUGUUUAUCAGGUUUCCUAGUUAUUUCUGCUAGAACACCGUGAUUUUAAACUAUCUUACUACCACAUGGAAAACUCGCGCUUUCAUGACUUGCUUUACUUAAAAAUAUGGAAGCAAGAGCUAAUUUAAGGUGCUCUUGAAACCAUCCUUGGUGACCCUGCCUGCUACGCAGCAUAUCAGGUGCUUAAGACAAAAGACUUAGAAUUCAAAGCCAGCAACCAUCAGGAUUUCUGCCUGUGUUAGGUUUGAUGUUCCGUAUUGAAUUCUCCGUCUCUCAUGUGAGCCUGUCAUCGUUCAUAUUUGGCAAUAUUUGAACAUCAGUGGUAUCCGCCUUGAACUUCCGUUAUUUCUCCGAAGCAGAACACCGAGAUAAUUCCUUCUUGAAUACAAAGGUAUCAGAAAUAUGUUCAUAGCAUUGCCAAAUGAGGUCGGUAUAUUAAAGAAGUUACACUGGAAACAUACAAUAUUGAGAAUUCCCAUCUCUUCUUGGGAAGGUUUAUUCCUGUGAAGUUCAAGCUUGAGUCUGUAAUGGAGUUACAAACCCCAUUGCAGAAAGGGCUUCAUACUUCCCUGAUACAUUAUGAUUCAAAAGGAAGCUGUUUCAGAGCAAAGACUGUGCAGAGUCCCUAUUGAGUUCUUUGUCAGGGAGUGUGUUUACCUAUGGAUGCAGAACAGCUUCCUCGAUUUAGAGAAACUAGAGUCAAGAAGCAGUACAUUCACCUAGACACUUAAUUGGCAUGUCUGUUUAGAAUGAGGUCAUGAGUGGUCUGUCCUCCCCCUGAAUAUUGCAGUGGAAGGCAUUGUCAGCAACCACAAGGACAGAAUUUCUGAGCAUAGCAAGUUUUCUAAUAUGUGUAUGUGUUGAGGUUCGGUGUGUUGUUAUGUAUUGUUAUGCUAAAUUCUCUACUCAAAGGUCUAGACCCUAUACUGACUUCUCACAUUUACAAGGUUCUGUUGUGUAAACCUUGUUCCUUGAUUUAAAAUUACUGGAUAAAUCAAAUUGGCUACAGCCAAUUACUGGAGGGGUUUGAGGCAGGUGAGUUUUGAGUUAGCUGGUAGGAGGUAGAGAAAAGAGAGAAGGAAGAGACACCAGGACAAGGAGGAGGAAUGGGAAAAAAAGGAUGAAGCUGCCCUGGGGCAGACGGACCAUGAGCAUGUGGCCAGGAGAAACUGCAACUUCCACUGGGAAGGCAGCCAGGACAGCAGUUAGAAGAGUAGAUUAAGGGUUGCAGCUCAGUAAUUGUCAAAGCCAAAUGAAAUAACCCUAAUCCGAAUUGAGUUUAUUUGUAAGGCGUAACCUUAAAUUGGUUAUAUUACACAUGUAUAUGUCUACAUCUAUGUUUGUGUCUGCUACAUGCACACCUACCUUAGAGGGUCGUCAUUCACGUGAGAUGUGCCCAUCCUUGAAGUUGCAGCAUCCAUUUACAAGUCUUCUGCAGUCUCCAUUUCUUUGCAUUGUAAUUGUGUGAUUCAAUAGGCGGAGGAGCUACCAUAGUGUAGUCACAACCUGAACAUGUGAUCAAAGAAGAGCCUGAUUCAGCAGAAUAUUAGGGACCCAGGCAUACUUAUCAAAACAUCUAAUGGAGCAGAUAUUCAGGCCUAAUAUGUUUGUCUAGACCAAGUUCACCAUUUUAAGUUUAUUUUCUACUCUCAUUUUUUAACAUCCUGACCAUUUAGUUUUCUCCCUUUGAAACAUUCUCCAAUAGGUGCCAUGUUUGACAAAAUCACUUUAAAAUCUUUGCUUACAAACUAAAGAAAUUGUUCAAUAGUUGAGAGUAAUUACUGUCUUAUAAAAGAUGAAUUUAUCUUCUAACCCACUUAUAAUGGCUUUCAAGCACAUAUAAGCAUUAGUUCUAGAGGAUCAGAUAUCUUCUUUUCACAUCAUCAGGCAUCAAUUGUAGAAAAGAUAGGCACACAGACAGACACACACGGAAACAAAUUUCUAGUAAAGUGAAAUAAAAUGUAUAAUUGAAAAUUUAUGCUGCCCAUGGUGGUACAUCCACCUAUUUUGACUAGACAGGGGUCAGAGAGAGCUGGAUCUCUCAGUUGGAGGAUGGCAAUUUAUAAAGUGAAUUUCAAGAAUAUCAAUGCAGAAACCCUGUCUGGAACAAGUACAAUAAAAAUAAGAAGUAAAACCAAGGCUUCAUGUUUAGAAAACAAUGAUAUUUGAAAGGAAUAUUUUUUUAACUGUUUAAACAUAACACAAAUUGUUAAACACCUACCAAUUGCCAUUUUAAAAGAUAGAUACUUUCACCAGCAAAAGCCCACUGAAAUAGAGCCCUUCCUAGUGCAGUUCUCAAGAACCCCAUAUGUCUACCAUUUUGGCUNNCUUGAAGUUUCAGAGGUUUACUCCAUUAUAAUCAUGGUGGGAAGCAUGGCAGCAUGCAGGCUGACAUGGUGCCUGAGAGGAAGCUGAGACUUCUACAUCUUGAUCCAAAGUCAGCCAGAAGGAGCUUAUGUCCCACAUUGGAGACAGGUAGUGAUACGUGAAGACACACACACACACACACACACACACACACACACACACACAUGAAUGACCUGGAAGCCUGUCUCUACAGUGACACACUUCCUCUAAAACUCCAUACCGACUCCAAUAAGGCCCCAUUUCCUAUUAGCAUUCAAAGAUAUGAGUUUAUGGGAGAAAGAAAAGUUUACAAAAUAUCACAUUUCAGGUCCUGGUGCCCAUAAGCCUCUGAUUAUAACACAAUGGAGAAUGCAUUUUGUCCAUCUUGAAAACUCUCCAUAGUCUAUCACCAUCUCAACAGUGUUUAAAAGCAAAGUUCAAAGUCUACAACAUUUGGGACCCAGAAUCAGGACUCCUCCAAAGGAAUAGUUUCAAUUCUCCAGCUCUGUGCUCUGUAGCCCUUUAAGCUCUGGCUGGUUCCAUUCCAUUUGUACUUCACUUGUUGGUGAUUAUCCUAUGGUACUGGCAUCUUCAAUGCACUGGGGUUUUCCAUUGCAACUAGGCUGUAAUUUCACCAAUCACCUCUCAUAGGCUCUCCUCAUGGUGACAUGCAUCAACUCUUUUGCAUGACCUCUUCAAUCCUGGGCUUUCAACUACCAAUGAGGCUACACCUUCACCAAUACUCAGCUUUAUCAUCUGAUUAACAUCACCAGUUAUUAGUUACUGUCCAUGGAAUGAGCUUUAAAUUCAACCAGAAAAUAAUUGGUCACUCCCAUAACUUUGCUGUCCCUAUUGUUCCACUGGCACUUCAAUUUGCCUGACCAUUUAUUCUACUCCCUGUGUUCACUGCUGGGUAAGACUGUUUAUUCAGGUACUUCGAUGGUAGCAUACCUAGAUUGUGCCACCAAUAUGAAAGGUAGCCAGCAGACAGCAAGCUUCUCAGUUGGUACCAGCUGAGGGUAUAAAUGAACAGCCACUAUUCAUCAAAUGAGAAUUCUAUCUUGACUUCAGAACUGGCAAAUGAAAUAGCCCAUGUGAGAGUUACAACUUUUCCUUAUUAUUAAGUCAAUAAGGGUAUUUGUGAGCAAGCUUGGGCUUCCACUCAGAAAGGAUCUUAACAGGAAAGGGAGUGGGGUCAAAAGGCUGCACUCACAUCACAUGAGAUGUACAACAAAGGGUUCUGUUUUGUUUGGUUGAUUUUUGUUGUUGUUUGGUUUUUCACUGUACGCCUGCACAAUGGACAGUUUUUUAGAAGGGAUCCUUUGUAUAUAUAUAUAAGUCUUGUCUCAGCAAAGACAAAUUUCUUUUUCAGAGCCUCCCUGAGGAGGCUCCAGAGGGUAUGGGGUACAGUGUCAGGAUAACCUGGCCUGGCCUAAGUCACCUUAUUCCCCAGUUCUAUUAGUUCUUUUCAAAUCCUUGAAUUUUAUGAAGGGGCAGGAACUGGGCCUUUGGACUCAUUUUUCUUAAGGCAACCUAACAUUUGAAAAAGAUUAACAACCAGUUAAUUCAUCAGAGCCCAGUUGUAAGAUCCGAUGGAGCACAACAGACAAGAGCACCAGACUUGAACAAAGUCUUUUCCCUUACAUCCUUAGCAUGUUAUGGAAUGUGGCUCACAUGCAAUUUACUCUGAUAGGGUCUAUUUCCUGUCCCAGAGGAGUGGUACUCUUGAGCCUGGGGUUGUCCUGCCGUCUAAGGAUAUUGUAGAUUUA